rnacentral:sRNA from 1 species
AGCAAAGGGCGGGACAGCUGCUGCGGUGGAGUCUGACCUCUGGAAGACAGCCGGUCUCUCCUCCCAGAUCUGCGAGAAGUUUGGGCCGAAUCUGGACACGUGCCCUGAAGGCACCAUCCUGGGACUGCGGCUGGACAGCUCUGGGGGGCUGCAUCUCCACGUUAAUGGGGUGGACCAGGGGGUAGCUGUGCCAGAUGUGCCCCAGCCCUGCCACGCGCUUGUGGACCUCUAUGGGCAGUGUGAGCAGGUGACAAUCGUGAACCCUGAGCCAGGGGCUGCCAAUGGGAAAAGUGCUGGAACCCAAGGGGACAUGGAGAAAGCAGACAUGGUGGACGGUAUCAAAGAGAGUGUGUGCUGGGGUCCACCACCUGCCGCUAGUCCUCUAAAGAGCUGCGAGUACCAUGCCCUUUGCUCUCGCUUCCAAGAACUCCUGCUGCUUCCUGAAGAUUAUUUCAUGCCUCCACCAAAGCGAAGCCUGUGCUACUGUGAGUCCUGCCGGAAGCUGCGAGGAGACGAGGCCCACAGGCGCAGAGGGGAGCCUCCCCGGGAAUACGCACUGCCCUUUGGCUGGUGCAGGUUCAACCUCAGGAAAAGCCAGGAAGUGCCAGGAACUUCCCGUCUAAGGAAGAGCCUCGUGAAGCUCCUCCACUGGGGAGUCAGUGGCCUUCGUUCUAUCUGCCCCGCUUGUCCACCUCCUAGAGUGAAUCCCCGCCUGGAGGCUGGGACACUAACCAAGAAGUGGCACAUGGCAUAUCAUGGGAGCAGUGUUCCAGCUGUACGGAGAGUGCUGGACCGAGGGGAGCUGGGAGCAGGUACUGCCUCCAUCCUGAGCUGCCGUCCUUUGAAGGGAGAGCCUGGGGUAGGGUUCGAGGAGCCUGGCGAGAACUGUGCACCUCCUCGGGAGGAGCAGCCCCCUCCUGUGCUGCUUUCCCCCUC